GUUAAAUUGGCAUUUCACACGGUGGUGCUGCACACCUUUAAUCCCAGCACUCAGGAGGCAGACCCAGGAGGAUCUCUGUGAGUUCGAGGCCAGCCUGAUCUACAGAGUGAUAUCCAAGACAAGCACCAAAACUACACAGAGAAACCCUGCCUCGAAAAACCAAGAAAAGAAAAGAAAAAUGAAAAAAGAAAAUCAGCAUUUCACUCAGAUAUAUUUAAUGAUACUCCUAGAUCUGAGAUAGAAAUCUAUAAUGCUAGAAGCAUCAGCUCAUCUCUUAAAAGAAAGUUCCUGAAAUAUUGUUUAAGGAGAACUUUAAACUGUCCGCCCCCCCCCCCCGCGCCCCCCAAAAAAGUUCCAACAUGUACAGCCUUCCCAAAGCCCCAAGAAAACCCCUCCAAGGACAACAAACUGAGGGAUCCUCUUAGAAAAAGGAUUCCUAGGCAACAAAAUAAAAAAUAAAAAAAGCAACAUGGGGCUGGAGAGAUGACUCAGCCGUUGGUUGAGUUCCCAGCACCCACACGAUGGCUCACAACCAUCCCUAACUCCAGUUCCAGAAGAUCUGAUGUCCUCUUCCAGACACAUAAAACAAAAACAAAUCCUUACAAAUAGACUUUUAAAAACAAGACAGUGUGUCAGGUAGACAGAGCUGUGUCAAGGAAGUCUGUCAAGCCCAGUUCAUUUGUUCACCUUGGUGGUCUGACAGGGUUCAAGUUCCACGGGCGACAGAAACAGAUACAAGAGGAGGAAAAGGCCCAGCCGCUGCCCACGCCAAACUUCUCUCCCAUGUGCAGUGUCUGAGUUUCCCCUCGUUUGACCGGGAGACUAAAGUCCUCACUAAGAUAAAGUCUCAGCAAGGGCCCAACACAUACACUAGUUAAACAGAUGGACAUGCUCACAAGCUAGAGAAGCCCCUGGCCCUGCAGAAGACAGCUGUUAGCAAAGCACAUGGUACAUGCUUCUGCAGACCAGGCUGCUGCAGAGCCUAAUCUGGAUGUCUCCUGCUCACAGAAGGACACAAGACCCCGAAGCCCCGGUGUGUGCUCUCCGGCCUCCAAUCCACACCUAUAACAAUAUUGUUGCAGUAACUGAAGCUUUCUUUGCAAAAUCUUCUCCUCUUGUUCUGCCUGCCCAUCCAGGAGAACAGCCUCUGUCAGUCAAAGAGUCUGAACACUUUGUAGAAUUCUUUGAGCCCUAACCAAAAGAGCAAUGCCCCUAACAUGAUUUCCUGUCUGUGUAGAAGAAACACAUUCUAACACAGAGUAGCUCUGUAGAGUUGUUAGGUCUCAAGGACUCUGAAACGGGGUUGAAAGCAGCUGUUUUGAAGACCUGCUUCUGCCAUUGUUGUGUUCGGGCUUUUGUUUGUUAGCUUAGAAGAAACCCAUAAGCGUCCUAAUUGAACCCACUAUGCUGUUAAGAGGUUAUCUGUAGAGGUGAUGGCAUUUGGAAACUAUCGUGAAACCUCCUCCUCACUGUGCUCAACUCACCCAGAGGGACUGUCACUAAGGGCACCUGUCAGCGUCCUUAGUACCAGACACCAUACUGAGGUUUCUCUUCCCCAGCCCUGGUACACGGUUUUGAGAUGUAUCAAUGGUGGUUAUGAAGGUGAGGAAACAAGCUAUUAUUAUUGAGAUACUCGAAAGAUGAGCCACCCUCCCUUUGGUAUCAUUGGGAUGUUCUACAUGAAGCCACACAGAAAAUAAACCCAAAUCUCAGAGUCCUCAAGAUUCAGGCUGCCCGUCUGAAGUAAGACGGGAUCUACGUGAGCUAAGACAGGACAGAGAAACGUCAACAUGCUCCAUUAAAGAACUAACAGACAGAGUCGGGAGUGUUCACAGGACCAUCCACCCAGCAGCAGGCAGGGAUGAGCAGGGAUGCUCUGCAUCCAUUUCUGUUAUUACAACAAGCAGCAACUUAGGGGAAAGGGGAAUUAUUUUAGCUCAAAAUCCCAGGACACAAUGCAUCCCUGCAGGGCAGCCAGAGCAGAGGAGCUCAGGACAGCUGGUCACAUCACAGCCACAGUCCAGGGUGGAGUCAGAAGGGAAUGCACAGGGGAGGUUUCAAUGACAAUGGCCCCGUAGGCCCAUAUGCUUGAAUACUUGGUUCCCAGUUGGUAGAAUUGUUUCCAGUUGUUUGGGAAGGACAAGGAGGUGUGACAUUGUUGGAGGAGGUGUGUUAUUAGAGGUGGGCUUUGGAGUUGCCAAAAUCCCACACCAUUCUCUGUUAGCUCUCUCUGCCUGGUGCUAGUGGAUCAAGAUGCGAGCUCCCAGUACUGCUCCAGCACCAGGCCUGCCUGCUUCAUGCUCCCCACCAAGAUGGUCAUGGACUUUAAGGCUCCUAAACUGUGAGCACCAAAUAAGCUCUUUCUUCUGUAA